ACAGUAAAAAGUCCGAGGGCAGCCGCCGGGCGCAGGAUGGGAUCCGGCUCCUCCAGCUACCGGCCCAAGGCCAUCUACCUGGACAUCGAUGGACGCAUUCAGAAGCACUCCCUACAAAGUGAGACCUGUGGCCAUCAAGCAACUCUCUGCAAAAGAAUGCAGAUUUUGCAUUAUCUAAAGAGGCGGUUCCGUGAGCCCACUGUGCUGAGUCACAUAUAUUCCAUCGGUAGAGAGAAGAAUUAAUCCAGAGCGUGCUGGCGCAGGUUGCAGAGCAGUUCUCAAGAGCAUUCAAAAUCAAUGAACUGAAAGCUGAAGUUGCAAAUCACUUGGCUGUCCUAGAGAAACGCGUGGAAUUGGAAGGACUAAAAGUGGUGGAGAUUGAGAAAUGCAAGAGUGACAUUAAGAAGAUGAGGGAGGAGCUGGCGGCCAGAAGCAGCAGGACCAACUGCCCCUGUAAGUACAGUUUUUUGGAUAACCACAAGAAGUUGACUCCUCGACGCGAUGUUCCCACUUACCCCAAGUACCUGCUCUCUCCAGAGACCAUCGAGGCCCUGCGGAAGCCGACCUUUGACGUCUGGCUUUGGGAGCCCAAUGAGAUGCUGAGCUGCCUGGAGCACAUGUACCACGACCUCGGGCUGGUCAGGGACUUCAGCAUCAACCCUGUCACCCUCAGGAGGUGGCUGUUCUGCGUCCACGACAACUACAGAAACAACCCCUUCCACAACUUCCGGCACUGCUUCUGCGUGGCCCAGAUGAUGUACAGCAUGGUGUGGCUCUGCAGUCUCCAGGAGAACUUCUCACAAAUGGAUAUCCUGAUCCUAAUGACAGCGGCCAUCUGCCACGAUCUGGACCAUCCCGGCUACAACAACACGUACCAGAUCAAUGCCCGCACAGAGCUGGCGGUCCGCUACAAUGACAUCUCACCGCUGGAGAACCACCACUGCGCCGUGGCCUUCCAGAUCCUCGCCGAGCCUGAGUGCAACAUCUUCUCCAACAUCCCACCUGAUGGGUUCAAGCAGAUCCGACAGGGAAUGAUCACAUUAAUCUUGGCCACUGACAUGGCAAGACAUGCAGAAAUUAUGGAUUCUUUCAAAGAGAAAAUGGAGAAUUUUGACUACAGCAACGAGGAGCACAUGACCCUGCUGAAGAUGAUUUUGAUAAAAUGCUGUGAUAUCUCUAACGAGGUCCGUCCAAUGGAAGUCGCAGAGCCUUGGGUGGACUGUUUAUUAGAGGAAUAUUUUAUGCAGAGCGACCGUGAGAAGUCAGAAGGCCUUCCCGUGGCCCCGUUCAUGGACCGAGACAAAGUGACCAAGGCCACAGCCCAGAUUGGGUUCAUCAAGUUUGUCCUGAUCCCAAUGUUUGAAACAGUGACCAAGCUCUUCCCCAUGGUUGAGGAGAUCAUGCUGCAGCCACUUUGGGAAUCCCGAGAUCGCUACGAGGAACUGAAGCGGAUAGAUGAUGCCAUGAAAGAGUUACAGAAGAAGACUGACAGCUUGACGUCUGGGGCCACCGAGAAGUCCAGAGAGAGAAGCAGAGAUGUGAAAAACAGUGAAGGAGACUGUGCCUGAGGAAAGCGGGGGGCGUGGCUGCGGUUCUGGACAGGCUGGCCGAGCUGCGCGGGAUCCUUGUGCAGGGAAGAGCUGCCCUGGGCACCUGGCACCACAAAACCACGUUUUCUAAGAACCAUUUUGUUCACUGAUACAAAAAAAAAAAAAAGGAAUUCAUGAUGCUGUACAGAAUUUUAUUUUUAAACUGUCUUUUAAAUAAUAUAUUCUUAUACGGAAA
rnacentral:sRNA from 1 species